ACUUUUCUAUGAUUUGUACACAACAAUAAUAAACCAUGUUUAUUUUUUUUAUUAACACAACACCAAAGUUCUUUCGCAACUAAAACAAAACUACACUUUAUAAACGAAGGAUAAGGAACCAACUGAAAUUGAAAUUACUAAGAAUAAAUCGUUAAAGAUAAUACAAUAAAAACUGUAAACUAAUAGAAAAUUAUUUCUAUUUGCACUAACUCUAAGUGUCAUUACUUUUGACAGAAUUGACAUUGUCGAGUUAAGCCUUGUUUGAUUAUUUUAUUUGUGAUAUUCAGGCAUGGUGUUUUAACAUAAAUGAUUGGUUAAAGUCUUCGUGAGCGAGAAAGGCUGUCAUUUCUCUUUAUUUAGCUGACCGGUGUGGAAGUGGUGGGGAAAUUCCCCAAUUUUUCCAUAUAAGAUUCCGGGGCAUGUUCUAUUCUAUUUCAGUUGCAACAUUGUCGUAGUAGUGUGAAGGUCACUGUGAAAAAAAUAUUGAUUUUAAAGAUGGUACGAAACUACAUAAAGAAAAUACCAGAACCUUCGUGGACGGAAGAAACUAUGAUAAAAGCUUUGGAAAUGAUAAAACAUUUAAAAAAUAAACAUUAAAAAUUAAUAUUUGUUUUCUAACUGUCAAGUUUCUAAAAUAUAUAAUUUCUACAAACACUAUUUUGAGCUUAUUUUGUCAAAAGUACUUCAAAAUUAAUUAUUAGAAGCACGGUCCUAUGUGCCCCAGUACUGAGGGGCACAGAGGACCAAUGUUGAUCAUAAAAAAAAUGGCUGUAAUUUUUUGUGACUAUUUGUAAUAUCAAAUGUAUGCUUGGAAACUAUUAAAGUACUAGAAAUA